UUCCUUGCUAUGGCCCUGUUCAUCAGAACACGGCCUAUGUAAUCGAAAAGGAUUAGCAGCGGCUAUAUACCAAUUUCCAUGUAGUGUCCCAGUUUGCCACGUCCUGGUAUCUAUUCUUUAGUGUCAUAAAAUUGUCAUCAAAGUCUUUAAAAAAAAAAUAUUGGGUAGGCUGUGUCAUCAAAGUCAUUGUCAUAUGUUUUUUUUUUUUUUUUUGAUAAAGAGUCGUAUGUUUUCUUUGUCAACACCAUUCCUUGUCUUCUAUAGUUUGUAAUGAGAACAUUUCGGAACCGAACAUUUCCUAUAUUUCGAAAAACUAGAAAAUUAAAUGGUGUUGGUAGAAAACAG
rnacentral:lncRNA from 1 species